rnacentral:rRNA from 1 species
UACGUAGGGGGCAAGCGUUGUCCGGAAUCAUUGGGCGUAAAGCGCGCGUAGGCGGCCCGGUAAGUCCGUUGUGAAAGUCAAAGGCUCAACCUUUGAAUGCCGAUGGAUACUGCCGGGCUAGAGUCCGGAAGAGGCGAGUGGAAUUCCUGGUGUAGCGGUGGAAUGCGCAGAUAUCAGGAGGAACACCGAUAGCGAAAGCAGCUCGCUGGGACGGUACUGACGCUGAGGCGCGAAAGCGUGGGGAGCGAACAGG